UACGUAGGGACCGAGCGUUGUCCGGAAUCAUUGGGCGUAAAGAGCGCGUAGGCGGUCCGAUAAGUCGGCUGUGAAAGUCCAGGGCUCAACCCUGGAAAGCCGGCCGAUACUGUCGGACUAGAGUCCGGAAGAGGCUCGCGGAAUUCCCAGUGUAGAGGUGAAAUUCGUAGAUAUUGGGAAGAACACCGGUGGCGAAGGCGGCGAGCUGGUCCAUUACUGACGCUGAGGCGCGACAGCGUGGGGAGCAAACAGG
rnacentral:rRNA from 1 species